rnacentral:miRNA from 1 species
GGGAAUAUGAGAGUGAAGGAUGGGAGGGAGGAGUAACAAAAGUGAAGACAAAAAUUAAAAACUGAAAUCUAUUUUAAAUUGUUUUCACUUUCAAGUUUUUGUUUUUACUUUUGUUACUCCUCCCUCCCAUCCUCUCCUCUCUCAUCCCCUC